AGGUUUAAUUGAAUGCUCCAGUUCUUUUCAUUUCCGAAGUUAUGGUGAGAAGAACUAAGUGGAAAAUGGAAUUGUUAUAGAGAAUCAUUACAGAGAAUGAUGUAAGAAAAUGCCAUUUUCCUUAAUGCGAGAAAACCAGAAAUAUACAAGGUUUUCAAGAUGUUUUCACUCUGAGAAGACUGCUACAAAAUUAUAACAAAAUGCAUUAGGGACUAAAUAGAGAGUCUCACUCUUGUCACCCAGGCUAAUCUCAGCUCACCGCAGCCUCCACCUCCCAGGUUCAAGUGAUUCUCCUGCCUCAGCCUCCCGAGUAGCUGGGGUUACAGGUAU
rnacentral:lncRNA from 10 species